rnacentral:rRNA from 1 species
UGUAACAACUCUCAACAACGGAUAUCUCGACUCUCACAUCGAUGAAAAACAUAGCAAAAUGCGAUACUUGUGUGAAUUGGAGAAUCCCAUGAACCAUCAAGUCUUUGAAUGCAAGUUAAGCAUGAAGCCUUCCUGUCAAGCGCACAUCUGCUGGAUGUCACAC